rnacentral:lncRNA from 1 species
CCCCGACGAUGCCGUGGACACCCUCCUAAUGGAGUGACUUUGACAUAAUCAAAGAUCAAGGACUUAACCACAAGACAACUAUGAUGCCUCAGGUCAAAGGACUACUUUGCAUUAUCCCAACCAUGAGUUCUCAUGUGACAUGAGUAUGAGAACUCCUCGUUGAUCGUGUUCAGUGGACUCAUUCAUUAUUGAGCACCUACAUGCUUGUCUUGAUGUCACACACACCAAUGACUCGAGACUAGUCACUCUCUCUGAGAGAAGACACAGCACGUACUGAUCUUAACGGACUGUCAAUGCCCAAUUGGCAAUCCUAUGAUCAGGAACGUUUAGGAUGUGUCUACGAAAGAAUGGUCUCAUGAAUCUAACUUCUUUAGAUCGCAUUCUCCCAAUCACAUAUUCCUUGGACUUAUCGUUUAAGCGUAUAACAUUUAUAUGAGACGGCUCAAACAAUAAUCUUUGCCCUUGAUAUUAAACUAGAUUAGUUUAACAUGUGAAAUGUCCGUAAAGUAUCAUCAUAUGAUUGGUUUUAGGGCACAUUUCCAACAAUCUCCCACUUGCACUAGAGCCAAUCAGCUUGGUCAUCAGUGAUGAUACCUCUUCUAUAGUCAUUUCAUAAAUGGCUGAGUAGUAGGCCUAGACAACGGAUAUCUAUAUGUGAAGAAGCAACCUUGAGAAUAACGACGUCACCAUUAUACAUGAUUCUUAAUCAUGUGGUUCAGUCUCUCAUUUGAGUUCGGAUCUUGAUGAGACCUUGAUUCCCUGGCUUGAGCUAUCGCCCCAUUAGUGUCGUAGUGUCGGUACACUAGAGACACUUUCUGGUUGGAACCGAAUAGAGAGUUCAUAAAUGAACUUUCCCAUCCAAACAACAUUGUUGUAAGCUUCUAUAUGGCAAUAUAUUUUGCAUUCAUAAUGGAACACACUAAAGUCAUUACUUUUAAUGUUUCCAUCCAAAUAUCUCUUUAGUCAUAAUAAAGAGAUAUCUGAUUAUCUCUUCAUUCAUAAUGAAGAAAUAUCCAAUGAUGGAUUAGAUUCAUAAUCUAAUACAUUUACGCUUCCAUUACGUUACUCUAAUUCUUCCUCAUUCUUUGAGGAAUCUAUCCUUUAGUAUUUCUUAAAUACUUAAGGACUCACUUGACAGUUGCCGUGGUUCUAAUCCUGGGCUUGCACUGAUAUCGUUUUGUACCUUUCUAGGUACAACUCAUAUCAAUGUUUUUCAUACAAUAUGAAAUACAUAAAUCACCUUUUUGCGUAUGCAUAAAGGAUUCUAUUUACGCAUUAUUUCUUUGGGAGUCAAAGGGUAUGUUCCCUUUGAGAAGGGUAACUUGCUAGUCUCACUAGAGUCGUCCUUCUAAUUGAAGUUUAUCAUCAUAUGAGAAACUUCCUAGCAUCUCUUGUCUAUUAUUAGGGCUUGAUAUAAUCCAAUUAUAUCCUAAAAUCUAUCAAUAUAGAUUUCCAUCCCAUGUAUAUAGAUUAUGUCUCCCAUAUACAUUCUAUCUUCAUAUAAUGUUUUAAAGUCAUAACUUUAACGAAGAAGUAUUCUUUUCAUUUCCAAAAUCAAUAUAUCAUAUAUUUGUAUAUAUAUAUAUAUAUAUAUAUAUAUUGAAAUUUAGGAACAUGAUUAACUCCCACUAAUCUUUUGUAAACCUAGUAAACAAAAGAUUCAUUUACAUCUUUAUGAGAAAUCAAACGUUUUGAUCUUUCUCUCAUAAGAUGUUUACAACUCCCACUAGCUUGCUAAGAUCCAUGAUGGUUGGAUCUCUACAACUUACAUGUCUUGUGAUUCAUAGUUUUAGACAUAUAUUAUCAAGACUAUCUUAAUAAUGGUUUCGGAAACCUAUAUUAUGUCCAAACAUUGAAUCACCAUUUAGUUGUAGCUAGCAAUCUUUGAAUUAAUUGAAAACAAGACUACGUCAAAGAUGGUUUCUUCAAAGUCAACCAUUCUCUUUGAUUGUAGUUACCUUAAGCUACCAAUUAGCUAUUUAAGGUUUCAUUAUUUCAGGUGAAAUGGUACUUUACCAUUUUCUUGAGUAUAUAUCGUAUAUACACUCAAUGUAGUCAUAAGGAUUUUCAUUCUUAUUUCUUUCGAAUUAAGAGGUGUAACUCUAUGACAUAGUCAUAAAGUUCAAACCAUUCAACUGAGACGGUUUAUAAAUCCUUCUCGACUACCUUGGAGCUUGUGGUAUAGGAACUAGGUUGUUAUAUUUGUUGAUCACUAUCUUGUUUCUUAAAGAACCAUUCUUUGAGUUCUAUCCCUCGUUCAUUUGCUCUAUCUUGGGCAAAUCCUAGUGUAGGAUUACAAUGAACUACCCAACAAACAACAUUUGUUAGUUGGUUUAUAGAAGUGAUAUCCAAAUGUUAAUUUAAGGAUACCCACAAGAUAAUUCUCAAAAAAAUAUUGCUUAUUAGCACACAACCCCAAAUCUUAACAUGAUUAAGAUUUGUCUUUCUUUCCAACUACAUCUUAUGGAGUCAUGAAAAUUUUGGAAGAUCUUCUAAUUGACAAUCAUAUUGUCUUAGAAGCAUAUAUCCUAUAUAUGGGUAAUUGAUAACAUCCAACGAACUAAAUCUUAUUCAAGUUCGUUCUUCUCCUAAUGGAGAAAUCCAUUAUCUUUUGAUGCUUCUUUCCUUGAUAUUUUUCAAGGAAACUGUUCUAAAGUGUUAUCUUUCCUUGGAUCAAAUCUAAGGAGGCAAAUACUUUAGACGUCUUACUCAUCAACUUACAUUUCUUGAAUUCUUUGAAACCUUUUGCAAAGUAUUCGGACUUGUGUUUAUUCAAAAUAAACUAUAGUCCAACCGAGAGUGAUCUUCGGUGAAUGUCAUACAACAUGAGUAGUAUUAUGUUGUGGACAAGUGCCACUAACAUCUAAGUGAAUUAACCUCAACAACUUUGUGAUUCUUUCUUCUUUCCAAAAGAAUAAAGAUUCGAACAUUUCGCCUCUAUACAAUUUUAAUAAGAAGGUAUUGGAUCGGAUCUAACGAUCCAAAGCAUCCAUCUAUGACCAACUCGUAAUUUAUGUUUUAGAGGUAUCACAACUCAGUUGGGAUUAGUCACUACCUUGCAACCUUUUGGGUUUUUAAGCAUCAUUAUAUUCUAAACAGUUAACACUACCAUAUCAUCUCUACUAUAGAGACAAUCAAUUAGAUUACUAUAAUCCAAUCAUUGAUUAAUAAAGAACAAUGUUUUGUCAAACAAAACAUUCAUCCAUCUCUACUAUAGUGACGGAAUUAAGUUCCUUAAAAUUGGAAUGUAAAGACAAUCUUUGGUUUUUCCAAUUUCUUUGGUAGUUCAUAUGAGGAAGUAAGUACUAUCUGCUUUCGCAGAGAUCUUUAUUUUAUUCACGUUCCGAAUGUGAAGCACCUUUUUCUUCUCUCAUAUAUCUUCUACUUCUUAUUAGUCACACUUUUACAACGAUUGUAAAACAUAGUUACUAAUACGGAAUCAAGCAUUCAAGUAGAAGAACCAACUGUUUUGAACUAUUCAAGAACAAUUUACAACACCUUCGAAAGGUGUGUUCUUGACACUUGCAAGACAUUUCUUGCAAAUACCCCUUCCAAUGUCCAUCCUUUCAUAAAGAAAGUUUGUUCUCUUGGAGUUAAUUUUAUCUUCUUCAUUUGACUUCUCCUUUGACUACAAUAGUCAUGGUCCCUAAACUCCCACUAUCUCUCUUGAAACUUAUUUCAAUUGUGUUAUACACAUCAAACGAUUUGGAGAGCGUGUGGUUAUUGUUCACUAUAUAGUUUACAAUAAACUUAGUGAACCAAUUGGAUAGGGACACAAAGGUGAAGUCCUUGCCUAGUUUCCGUCUCUAGAAGUGGUGUAACACUUCAACACUCAAUGAUUCAAAAUCAUCAUAAGUCCAUGUUGAUGGACUAUUUUUGUCAACCAACCAUUAUGUUCUAAACAUAAUUACAAACUUUCAAGAGUUGUUCAAGGCAACUCUCAUUUCUUCAUACAACAAUUUGUAAGUGAAGAAUCAUGGCACAUAAAGUGUCCAUGCCCUUGUGCUUACUUCUAAAGUUCCUUGUUCAUGUAACAAAGAAACAAGCACUAAUGUUUGCAUUGACUAAGGGUUGUUCAAAGCAACUCUUAUUUUCUUCAUACAACGAUUUGUAAGUGAAGAAUUGUGACAUUAAAAGUGUUGUCCUCCUUAUGAUAGACUUAUCUAACAUUUUCUUCCAAUGAUACAUUAUCAAUAGGAAGAUUGUGAGGAUGAGACUACUUAGGUACAUAUACAAUCCAUUUAAGACAAUCUUUGGGAUUGUUGUACCAAGUCCGGAAACUAAAGCAUUCGGCUUUUAUUUGUCAAGUGUUGGAUAGCGUUUGCAAAUAUAUUGGUAAACAAAUACAUAACGAAUAUAAAUUGAUUGAUUUUAAGCCAUUUGAUUCGGGUCUUUAAAUCAAAUAGCACCACCCAUUAUUUUUGGCAAAUUCCAUAUCCCUCAUUGGAAUUCGAGAGUUUUGGAUGAAACUCUUAGUAGGGUAUGGGAGACUCACCAUUACCAAGCCCACCUCAGAAGAAUAUCAUAUUGGCUAGCAACAAUAAUGAUGAGAGGAUAACGCUUUAGCCAUUUACAACUUUUGUAAUUACCCAUCUUAUUUGGCCUCUAGAAAAUGAUGCCUCAGAAGAAUAUCAUAUUGGCACCAUUGCACUUAGUUAAGUCAUUCCCACCAUGCUAGUUCAAGUAGGGGUUCAAGAAUGGCCUCAGAAGAAUAUUAUAUUGACCAUACUCGUUGCCUACCUUCACUUCAUCAUAUGUUUAUAGGCUUCUCCUGAAUGUAAGCACAUACUUUGCAUACCCCAGAACUGGACGAAUACGGUGUAUGAGUCACAAACGAUUGAAGCCCACCAUGGUGGAAGGCCUACGAAGAGAUGUUCAAAGCAUCUCUCACUUAUCAACUUAAUAAUGGUUUGGUUGAGGGUUUUAGGUCUCAUCACAUAUAAAUAUUCAUUUUAAUCUUUAUUAAAACAAUUUUGGUCCUAUUACAACUAUUGGUCCAUUUGAUUGAAUUUAGUUGUAUAUAAUACUCCCACUAUGCUUAUAAAACGGUUUUUAAAGCAAGAGUAUAUAAUACUACUAACAUAAACUUUGCAUUCAUUUGAUGGACUAUAUAGUUGCCUUAGGGCCUUAGGAUGACUAUGAACCUUUGAUUAGAUUCAACACGAGCCUAGUGUUGAAUCUCGGUCUAGGGAUGGUGAUUGAUUUUAGUUACGUUUAAUCACAUUAAGGCGUGUUGUCUUAGGGGCGUUGGACCCUCUACUCCAUUUUCAUGCAUAUCAAAUAAUACAAGAAAGGAGUACUUCAAAGUAAAGAUGAGCUUAUGCUCUUUACAACAUUUGAAUAAAUACAAAUUACUUUAAAGUAAAGAAGAGCUUAUGCUCUUUUACAACAUUUGAUCAAAUCAAAUUACAACCAAAAUCUAAUCUACACACAUUCCCAUGGUUCAAACAAAUUUGAAACGGCCUUUCACAUAGCUCAAUUAUCGUAGGCUUAGGUUCAUAAUCACCCUUUAAUUAAUUAACACUUUAACUAAUUAAAUUGAAUGCAACAUUUUCAUUUGGUUUUUGUAUCCAUAAAAUUGAUUUAAAUGGAGCUAAAUGAAAUGAAAAUCCAAUUCUCAUUUAAAGAGACAAAACCAUUUUGUUCUCAUCCUAAUUUGGGCCAAAAUGCAAUAACCUCAACUUUUUGGGCUAUGUUGCAAAACUUAAACUUUUGAGCUCAUUUUGUAAAAACACAAAAGUCCACUACUUCAUGUAAUCACAACUAGAACCCAAAAAUUUCAACAAAUUGAAAAACAUCAUUAAAGGAACAAAACAAUUUGUCCUUUAAUGAUUUUGGGCCUUUACGUAAAUACGUAAACUUUUGGGCCAAAGUUGCAAAUACACAAAAGUACCAAAACUUUAUGUAAUUGCAUAAAAGCCCCAAAAGCACCCCACUUGUAGGGUGGCCGGUUUUAGAUAGAGUGAGGAAUGCAAAAUUUUGAAAUUUUUCAACAAAGUCAUAAAGUCAUGCAAGUGGUGUGUGUGACAUAAAUUCAUGCAAGUGGUGCGUGUGUAAGAGAAGUACUUCUUACGCACCCAUCACCAUUUCUAUCACCUUUCAAAAUUUCAAUCACAUUAAAACAUUUGAUAAAGCACAAAACAAAGACUUUAUGAAAUAAAUCAAAACUUUGAAUCAAAACACCAAACUUUUUGUUCUUGGCUAAAAUGUCAAGAACAAUGAAGAACAUUCAUGAAAAACCCAUAAAAGCUUCAUGAACAUUUUUCAUCCAAAGACAUCCCAAAAACACUCAAACUUAAGGGAAAUAACAUAUAACCAAACUAGGGUACAUAGGGGUUCCAAAAGUUACUUGAAAACACUUUUAACAAGUCAAACAUGAACCCAAAAAUCCACCCUUUGGAUUUGGCCGAAAAUUCCCCAAAAACAUGGCACCAAAUUUUAGCUCCAAUAUUCAUGCUCAUGAAUACUACAUCUACAACAUUUGAGAUGGCAAAUUUUCUAACAAAAUUUACAUUCAAAGAAGCAAGAAUAAAGCUUGUAACAUAUUACAACAUUUAAAUCAAAGACUAUGAACUACAAAACCCAAAAGGAUUCACCAACUACUAGACCUAGGCUCUGAUACCACUUGAAGGAAAUUUUGUGAAAAACAUGUUCAUUUAAGCAACAUCUAUAGCAUGCAAUUAACAAUUAAAAGGCGGAAUCAUGCUUGUAUGCACUUAAAAACAAAACAUUAACCAUGAAAUUCAAAGCCUAGUAGAUUGGUGAACCUUGACUCAACUUAAAACAACAUUUCUUAGUUGAGAAAUUAUACCUUUGUAGAUUCCUCUUUGCUUGCAUAAGCAAAGGCUAAUCACCCAACGAGAGGGCCUUCAUUCCUUGCAUCUUAGAUCUAUGGAUUUGGAUGGAUGAAAUGGUUCUCCAAGUUCCCAAAAUUGAGAACCUCUAAGUCUCUUCACCAAGGUUAGAUUGGAGAAGAAAUGAGUGACCUUGGAGUAGUAGGAUUGCUAGCUAAACCCUCUAAGGAGGCCGGCCACUUUAGAGAGAAAUGAGAGCUUAUGUUCUCAUCCUUUCCCCAAAAGAAAACCCUAAAUGAAUUUUGGCUAUAAAGUCAUAUUUAUACCUUAAUUCAUUGGAGUGGCAAACUUGUAAAUAAGUCCAAAACUCACUCCAUCUCUAAAUGGCCGGCCUUAGGGUAUUAUUGGGCUAAUUGGGCCUUUGUGAAUCAUUAUUCAUUAAGUUGUCAUACAACUUAAGUCAAUGGGCUUGACGUUCGAAGCCCAUUGGGCCUUAAGGUCCAAAACUAUCCCGAGGUCUUUAACGAACUUAUUCGUUUGAUUAAUUAACAUAUUAAUUAAUCCUUGCCAUAAAUAAUUAAACCAUUUAAUUAUUCUUACUCAUCUCCAUUGUUUCUUCAAUCUCCACCUUACACGGUGUACGAUCCAUUAGGUUCCUUUUAGCGAGGCAGUGGGCGAUUAAAACCAUUUCAAAUCGAUUGUGAAUUGAAACUUACUUUCAAUUCUUCCUUUAGUGAUUUAUACACGUUUAGGGCUUCCACAAACCAUGAGUGACACCUAGCAGCAUAUCAUGGUUACCCAAGCUAAUCAGAAGAGGUGGAGAACCUAUUCAGUUUAGGAUUACAAAUGCAAUACGGUCUUUCUCUAAUACAAUACUCUUGACCACAUUGUUUGGUUUGAUAGUUUAUUCAUGUCUACUAUCCAAUGUGAUUCGUGUGCUUAUAUGAUUACCUUGAAUGUGAUUUGGAACGACUUCCUAAAUCUCAUUCAUACUCUGGCCAGAGAUUCUUAAUCAUAUCAUAGAGUAUUCUCCCCCAAACGGUUUGAAGGUUAGAGAUCCCUUGUUGCGCAUUCACUUGCCUCCAUGGCUAAGUGGCUUAACCCCGACGAUGCCGUGGACACCCUCCUGAUGGAGUGACUUUGACAUAAUCAAAGAUCAAGGACUUAACCACAAGACAACUAUGAUGCCUCAGGUCAAAUGACUACUUUGCAUUAUCCAAACCAUGAGUUCUCAUGUGACAUGAGUAUGAGAACUCCUUGUUGAUCGUGUUCAGUGGACUCAUUCAUUAUUGAGCACCUACAUGCUUGUCUUGAUGUCACACACACCAAU